AUAUGUGGCCAAACCUUCAUGUUAAAGCCUGAUCUUGUCAGAUCUCGGCAGCCAAGCAGGUCUGGGGCUGGUUAGUGCCUGGAUGGGAGAUCACUCAGAGUGCCAGGUGCCACAGUA
rnacentral:rRNA from 1 species